GAGUUUGAUCCUGGCUCAGGACGAACGCUGGCGGCGUGCUUAACACAUGCAAGUCACGGGGGCCCGCAAGGGUAACCGGCGAACGGGUGCGUAACACGUGAACAAUCUGCCUAGAUGUGGGGGAUAGCCGGCCCAACGGCCGGGUAAUACCGCAUACGCUCUUCGGGUGGCAUCACUUGAAGAGGAAACCUCCGGGGCAUCUAGAGGAGUUCGCGGCCUAUCAGCUAGUUGGUGGGGUAACGGCCUACCAAGGCAAUGACGGGUAGCUGGUCUGAGAGGAUGGCCAGCCACAUUGGGACUGAGAUACGGCCCAGACUCCUACGGGAGGCAGCAGUGGGGAAUAUUGCGCAAUGGCCGAAAGGCUGACGCAGCGACGCCGCGUGGGGGAUGAAGCAUUUCGGUGUGUAAACCCCUGUUGCCCGGGACGAACAAGCGAUUUUGAUCGCUCUGACGGUACCGGGUGAGGAAGCACCGGCUAACUCCGUGCCAGCAGCCGCGGUAAUACGGAGGGUGCGAGCGUUGUCCGGAAUCACUGGGCGUAAAGGGCGCGUAGGCGGUCUGCUAAGCGUGUGGUGAAAGCUCGGGGCUCAACCCCGAGUCUGCCAUGCGAACUGGUGGACUAGAGCACUGUAGAGGCAGGUGGAAUUCCGGGUGUAGCGGUGGAAUGCGUAGAGAUCCGGAAGAACACCAGUGGCGAAGGCGGCCUGCUGGGCAGUAGCUGACGCUGAGGCGCGAUAGCGUGGGGAGCAAACAGGAUUAGAUACCCUGGUAGUCCACGCCGUAAACGAUGGGGACUAGGUGCUUGGGGGAGCGACCCCUCGAGUGCCGGCGCUAACGCAUUAAGUCCCCCGCCUGGGGAGUACGACCGCAAGGUUGAAA
rnacentral:rRNA from 1 species